ACAGUGGACGCGAGCAUCUGUGGCCAAGUUUUUAAGGGCGCACGGUGGAUGCCUUGGCACCAGGAACCGAUGAAGGACGUGGGAGGCCACGAUAGUCCCCGGGGAGUCGUCAACCAGGCUUUGAUCCGGGGGUUUCCGAAUGGGGAAACCCGGCAGUCGUCAUGGGCUGUCACCCAUACCUGAACACAUAGGGUAUGUGGAGGGAACGCGGGGAAGUGAAACAUCUCAGUACCCGCAGGAAGAGAAAACAACCGUGAUUCCGGGAGUAGUGGCGAGCGAAACUGGAUGAGGCCAAACCGUAUGUGUGUGAUACCCGGCAGGGGUUGCGCAUGCGGGGUUGUGGGAUCUCUCUUCCACGGUCUGCCGGCCGUGGGACGAGUCAGAAACCGUUGAUGUAGGCGAAGGACAUGCGAAAGGUCCGGCGUAGAGGGUAAGACCCCCGUAGUCGAAACAUCAGCGGCUCGUUUGAGAGACACCCAAGUAGCACGGGGCCCGAGAAAUCCCGUGUGAAUCUGGCGGGACCACCCGCUAAGCCUAAAUAUUCCCUGGUGACCGAUAGCGGAUAGUACCGUGAGGGAAUGGUGAAAAGUACCGCGGGAGCGGAGUGAAAUAGUACCUGAAACCGUGUGCCUACAAGCCGUGGGAGCGUCGCGCAUCGAGCUUGCUCGGUGCGUCGUGACUGCGUGCCUUUUGAAGAAUGAGCCUGCGAGUUA
rnacentral:rRNA from 1 species